GGGGAUGUGGCUUUAAUGGUAGAGUGCUUGCCUUGAAUGCAUGAAGCCCUGGGUUUGAUUCCCCAGUGCCA
rnacentral:tRNA from 1 species